UACGGAGGGGGCUAGCGUUGUUUCGGAAUUACUGGGCGUAAAGCGCACGUAGGCGGAUCAGCAAGUUAGGGGUGAAAUCCCGGGGCUCAACCCCGGAACUGCCUUUAAAACUGUUGGUCUGGAGGUCGAGGGAGGUGAGUGGAAUUUCCGAGUGUAGAGGUGAAAUUCGUAGAUAUUCGGAGGAACACCAGUGGCGAAGGCGGCUCACUGGCUCGAUACUGACGCUGAGGUGCGAAAGCGUGGGGAGCAAACAGG
rnacentral:rRNA from 1 species